rnacentral:rRNA from 1 species
AAACGACUCUCGGCAACGGAUAUCUCGGCUCUCGCAUCGAUGAAGAACGUAGCGAAAUGCGAUACUUGGUGUGAAUUGCAGAAUCCCGUGAACCAUCGAGUCUUUGAACGCAAGUUGCGCCCCAAGCCUUCUGGCCGAGGGCACGCCUGCCUGGGUGUCACA